GGAUGUGGGCCAGUGUGUCACUUUUGCCUUAUCGAAUAAACGCCUGACGGGAUAACUAGAAGACGACAAUACCUCUCGAGUGGUUCCAAGCCAAAACGAACAACAGCUACAUCACCAACAACAGCAAUAACAACAGCGACAAGUGCAACAGCAGCUUGAAUGAUAACGCCAGGAGUCCCCGUCAGGACCCCUAGGCGUCCCUGUGCCUGCCUGCCAAAAACGUCUGCAUCUCCUGGACCCCCUCGAGGCAGGGGACAGCCAAAUGUCACUUGGACCCUCUACAGAGUGGAGAGAGGCG